UACGGAGGGUGCAAGCGUUAAUCGGAAUUACUGGGCGUAAAGGGUGCGUAGGUGGUUUAAUAAGUUAUGUGUGAAAGCCCAGGGCUCAACCUUGGGAUGUCAGAUAAGACUGUUAGACUAGAGUAUGGGAGAGGGUAGUGGAAUUUCCGGUGUAGCGGUGAAAUGCGUAGAGAUCGGAAGGAACACCAGUGGCGAAGGCGGCUACCUGGCCUAAUACUGACACUGAGGCACGAAAGCGUGGGGAGCAAACAGG
rnacentral:rRNA from 1 species